rnacentral:sRNA from 1 species
AGCCGCACUGCUCGAUACGGAAACUCUUCAAUUUUAAUCGACUAUUCCGAGAUCAUUCUAUCUACCCGAUGACCGGCCUCGACAGACUCCUAGUGAGUGUGUGAGUACUUGUUGCUCCAGUGGACUUCAAAGGGGGAUGGAUCCUCAAAACUUGUAUGUUCUUCGGAGUUUUUCUAAUCCGCAGUGCGGCUUUUUUG